UUCCAGACUCCUACGGGAGGCAGCAGUGGGGAAUAUUGGGCAAUGGGCGCAAGCCUGACCCAGCAACGCCGCGUGAAGGAAGAAGGCUUUCGGGUUGUAAACUUCUUUUCUCAGGGACGAAGCAAGUGACGGUACCUGAUGAAUAAGCCACGGCUAACUACGUGCCAGCAGCCGCGGUAAUACGUAGGUGGCAAGCGUUGUCCGGAUUUACUGGGUGUAAAGGGCGUGUAGCCGGGAAGGCAAGUCAGAUGUGAAAUCCGGAGGCUCAACCUCCGAAUUGCAUUUGAAACUGUUUUUCUUGAGUACUGGAGAGGCAGACGGAAUUCCUUGUGUAGCGGUGAAAUGCGUAGAUAUAAGGAGGAACACCAGUGGCGAAGGCGGUCUGCUGGACAGCAACUGACGGUGAGGCGCGAAAGCGUGGGGAGCAAACAGGAUUAGAUACCCCGGUAAUC
rnacentral:rRNA from 1 species